GUGCAUUUUAGGAUAACCAAAACAGACUUAUAACUCUAACAAGCCAUAUAUCAAUUGAAGAGUAGAACAGUCUUAGGUGGAUGCAGAAAGUUCAUAU